UUAAUAGAAGCCAAAUAGAGGCUCUUCACUGUUAAUGAAGUCAUUGAAAUUUUCCUAUUAAA
rnacentral:tRNA from 1 species